GGCUGAUGCCGUCCUGCUUCUGGGUCAAAUCUGAGGCAUUUCUUCCUGCCCUGAGCGUGUUUGGUUUUGCUGAAGGUGGUAUCGUAAAGGCCUGCCUUCCCUACAUGAAUUCUCAGUAACUUUCAAGAGCUACCGGUGAGAAGAGGGCAGGGUUAUACUGAGAGACAGUGGAGAUGUCCCAGGAAGAAGCAAGGACUUGGGAGUUUCCCCUCAAUCACCAAGCUGUGCUGAUGUGAGGGGUUCUGCCUUCAUUUUUUAAUGCGCUAUGGCAAAUGCCACAAAGGUCAUGGGUCUGGCAACAAUGGGGAAGUGAAGAUGAAUACUUCUUGGAGCCCAGCUAACGGCUGCAAGUGCUGGAUGCCAAACUCCUGUGUUUGUCACAUCAGAGCCACGUCGCUUCACCCUUGCAGCGCGGCGGGCUUAAGGAGGCCCUCUGACUGCUACAGAAAGCUGCCCUGGUGGUAUCGCUGGGCUCAACAAGUGCUUCCUCCAGAGGUGACACUGAGACCGAGGGCGUGAGGGCUGUGUACCACCAGAUUCAUUUCCUGGCUCGAUUUCUCAUUAUUGGAGCAAUACUGGGCAAGUCACUUGAUCUGUGGGAACCUCAGCAUUGUC